CCAAGGGCCCCCACCCACAAAAUGGCGAACUACCCGCUUCUCUUCCGGGUCCUCUGCUCCCGCCAGUGCCAGCCAAGGCCCAAUCACCCCUCUACACCUUCCCGCCGGCGCCACCUAAGGUCCAGUUAUCUUCUGACCCACCCCUUCCUUGCUAACCUGUAUAAAUUGAGCCUGCAAACAAUAAACUGUGCCAGCUUGAUCAGACAUCCUGUCUUGCUGGUCGUGCUUUGUGUCCCUUGCUUGUUUCAUUUCUGCAGGUUUCUCAUUCUGGCCCUCGUUGAUAGUCCCGCGGGACGGGACAACUGGCGCCCAACGUGGAGCCCGACGGGGACGCGCGCCCUGCUGAAACGUCUACUUGUAGGCCUGGCCAGGCACUCAUUUGAGACGUCGCGCAGGUAGGAGCCUGACGCCGACUCUGCAUUGACUAUCACUGCGGCCCACCCGUCCGUAAUACAGAUCCGUGAGAAGUUUUUAUGGGGUGAGACCCAUUCUUCCUGCUCUAAUAGACCAUCCUGAAUAUAAGCACAAGAGACUUCUCCGAGCUCUGCCAUCUGACUGUGAUGAAAACUUGAAGCUUUGAGGUCCUGCUGCUGUUGCAGUUGCGGCUGUGUUCCUCCUGCCAGUUCCUGGACUUGUCGUUAGAAUGCUAAAGGAGAUAUCUAAGCUGGCCUGCGCAUAUAGCAAAACAACAAAAUUGACUGCUUCUGUAUUAUCUGAACUCCACCAAGAACUGAGAGAAUUGCGAGUUGCAGUACCUCAGAAUCGUGCUGCUGUGGACUGUCUGCUGUUAAAAGAGCAUGUAAGAUGUGAACAGUUUCCAAGAAUGUGUUGUUUCAAUUUGUCUGAUUUUUCUCAAACUACCCAAAAUCAAUUAGAUGAUAUCCAUCAUAUUGUCAAUAAGUUUUUACAAAUGCCUGAAUUAUCUAACUAGUUUUCUUAAUUUCAUUAGAUAUAACUAGUAAUUGUAAGUCUGCCUUUAUUAUGUAUCUGUAUUCCUAUUCUGUUAAUGUUUGUAUGCAAUUUGACUAGUAGUUUGUUAAAACCUAUAUAUAUAUAUAUAUAUAUAU